rnacentral:rRNA from 1 species
UGCAAGCCGAGCGGUAGAGAUCUUUCGGGAUCUUGAGAGCGGCGUACGGGUGCGGAACACGUGUGCAACCUGCCUUUAUCAGGGGGAUAGCCUUUCGAAAGGAAGAUUAAUACCCCAUAAUAUUUUGAAUGGCAUCAUUUGAAAUUGAAAACUCCGGUGGAUAGAGAUGGGCACGCGCAAGAUUAGAUAGUUGGUAGGGUAACGGCCUACCAAGUCAGUGAUCUUUAGGGGGCCUGAGAGGGUGAUCCCCCACACUGGUACUGAGACACGGACCAGACUCCUACGGGAGGCAGCAGUGAGGAAUAUUGGACAAUGGGUGAGAGCCUGAUCCAGCCAUCCCGCGUGAAGGACGACGGCCCUAUGGGUUGUAAACUUCUUUUGUAUAGGGAUAAACCUUUCCACGUGUGGAAAGCUGAAGGUACUAUACGAAUAAGCACCGGCUAACUCCGUGCCAGCAGCCGCGGUAAUACGGAGGGUGCAAGCGUUAUCCGGAUUUAUUGGGUUUAAAGGGUCCGUAGGCGGAUCUGUAAGUCAGUGGUGAAAUCUCAUAGCUUAACUAUGAAACUGCCAUUGAUACUGCAGGUCUUGAGUAAGGUAGAAGUAGCUGGAAUAAGUAGUGUAGCGGUGAAUGCAUAGAUAUUACUUAGACACCAAUUGCGAAGGCGGUACUAUGUCUUAACUGACGCUGAUGGACGAAAGCGUGGG